rnacentral:rRNA from 1 species
CCUACGGGUGGCAGCAGUGGGGAAUAUUGGACAAUGGGGGGAACCCUGAUCCAGCCAUGCCGCGUGUGUGAAGAAGGCCCUCGGGUUGUAAAGCACUUUCAGUGAGGAAGAACGCCUGGUGGUUAAUACCCAUCAGGAAAGACAUCACUCACAGAAGAAGCACCGGCUAACUCCGUGCCAGCAGCCGCGGUAAUACGGAGGGUGCGAGCGUUAAUCGGAAUUACUGGGCGUAAAGCGCGCGUGGGUGGCUUGAUAAGCCGGUUGUGAAAGCCCCGGGCUCAACCUGGGAACGGCAUCCGGAACUGUCAAGCUAGAGUGCAGGAGAGGAAGGUAGAAUUCCCGGUGUAGCGGUGAAAUGCGUAGAGAUCGGGAGGAAUACCAGUGGCGAAGGCGGCCUUCUGGACUGACACUGACACUGAGGUGCGAAAGCGUGGGUAGCAAACAGGAUUAGAUACCCGAGUAGUC